AGGACCCUGACAAAAUCGCGAACCUCAAGAAACUGCACAGUCUCAUGCAUUACCUUAAGUCAGGGUCUGCUGGAGAAUUUACUUCCCCUUCCUGGGGACAUUUGACAGUGACAAUGUCAAUGAACCAUGUGAUCCCCAAAGUAUCAACUGCUAUGUUAUGGUUACACAGCUGGAUAGACGCAGGUGCUGAGAGAAUCGGGAAUCUUGGAUUACAACCUAAAGCAGAGUUAUGAACCCUGAAACAGAUUAUGAAAAAGCAAUAGAUGAAGUGAUAAAGAGUUUGUAAGAGGCGGGGAAGAUAAAGUGAGAAGGCCCAUUGAAUAGUGCAUGGAAUUUCUGUAAACUAAAAAUAGCCGGUGAGAAGGCAAUCAUGGAAGUGCGCUUAAGUUUUUCCAGCAUUCCUGAAAGACAUGAAUCCUCAAGUUGAGAAAGGAUAGGAAGUCUCCACUAGGCUAAAUUAAAGUAGACUCAUACAUAGACACAUAAGCAAACGCAGGGACUUUCAGGUACAAAGAGAAGUUGUUGGAGGAAACCAGAGGAGAAAAACCAGCAAAUGAAUGAUAGAGGAUGUACAACUAGACUGACAGACCACAGACUUUCAACCAACAGCAAAGUGAGAGAAAACAAAAACAGAAAUGUCUUCAAAGACAUGAACUUAAUGCUCAAGUGCUGAGUCUGAGUCCAUUAGUUACUAAGCCACUGCUCAAGCAUGAGGACAAAAUGAAGGCCGCUCCAGAUGAAGGGCUUUCCAAAGGAGCCAAUUUGGGAAGGAAUGCAAUUGGACCCAAAAUGGAGCCAGAUCAAGAAGAAAUGAUGAACAAAUGAAAUGAUGAGCCUGUUGCUAAGAUUCAUUACAGGACCUACAUUCUUUGAAAACUAACAUUCUUUUGGAACAAACUAAGGAAAUACCAUCUUGGAACAACAAGUGAACAUUGUCACUCUGCCGUGACUAGGUCUGGUAGAAACUACUACCCCAGGUAUCGGAACUUGGAGAGGCCCUGAACUGGAAGCAGCUGUGAAUGAAGUUUGGCUGGUGCUCUCUCUCCUUCCUCUAGCAGCCUCUACAUGCUGAGGUGCGAAAGCACCCAGGUUGGUCCUGUGAACCUGGGCCAACAAGGCCAGGACUUUAUCCUACUGGUUUCAGCAUGGGCUCUGGGUCCCACAGGAACUCAUAUUGCACAGGAUCACUGUUGGCCACCUGCUGGUACUCCAGGCACUUUUGCUGCACAACGUCUUGGGUGAGGAGCUCCCUGGGCUCCCCAUAAAGAACAUGCUGCUGCCCAGCAUACAGCUCUGUCAGAUCCAGUGCUCCCCAGACCAGACCUCUUCUUCAGUGGCACGCUUGCCUUCAGGAUGAUCACACCCAGGACAGGUAGCCAGAGGCCAGACUUGCAGGCACACACACGAAAACUGCAUAUGGAUGUUCACAGCAGCUCUCUGGAUUGACUUAUGAGUUAUACAACUUCUACUUCUGAUGAAGAUCGGCUGGAAGCACCGGGCCGCCUGAGGACACUAACUAUCAUACAUGUGCACUGGCAGCCAUUCUGUGCUAACGGACAGCAAAGAGUCUACGCCGCUCUCUUCUCGAAGUUCUACUUCGAAACUCAUGAUCUCUGCAUUUGAUGUUGAAGGAGAGCAAAGCAUGGAAGGUGCUACAGU
rnacentral:lncRNA from 1 species